rnacentral:rRNA from 1 species
GACGAACGCUGGCGGCGUGCUUAACACAUGCAAGUCGAACGGAAAGGCCCUGCUUUUGUGGGGUGCUCGAGUGGCGAACGGGUGAGUAACACGUGAGUAACCUGCCCUUGACUUUGGGAUAACUUCAGGAAACUGGGGCUAAUACCGGAUAGGAGCUCCUGCUGCAUGGUGGGGGUUGGAAAGUUUCGGCGGUUGGGGAUGGACUCGCGGCUUAUCAGCUUGUUGGUGGGGUAGUGGCUUACCAAGGCUUUGACGGGUAGCCGGCCUGAGAGGGUGACCGGCCACAUUGGGACUGAGAAACGGCCCAGACUCCUACGGGAGGCAGCAGUGGGGAAUAUUGCACAAUGGGCGGAAGCCUGAUGCAGCAACGCCGCGUGCGGGAUGACGGCCUUCGGGUUGUAAACCGUUUUCGCCUGUGACGAAGCGUGAGUGACGGUAAUGUGUAAAGAAGCACCGGCUAACUACGUG